CGGACGGGUGAGUAACGCGUGGGGAACCUGCCCUGUACCGGGGGAUAGCAGCCGGAAACGGCUGAUAAUACCGCAUAAGCGCACGAAUGUCGCAUGACAUGGUGUGAAAAACUCCGGUGGUAUAGGAUGGACCCGCGUCUGAUUAGCCAGUUGGUGGGGUAAAAGCCUACCAAAGCGAAGAUCAGUAGCCGAGUUGAGAGACUGACCGGCCACAUUGGGACUGAGACACGGCCCAGACUCCUACGGGAGGCAGCAGUC
rnacentral:rRNA from 1 species